rnacentral:RNase_P_RNA from 1 species
CUGGAUAAUUGCUGGCAUUAGCUAGAGGAAAGUCCAUGCUCGCACCAUCUGUGAUGAUGGUAGUGAUUGCGCUAGCGGAAAAAAUAACGCUAGGUAUGCAGGAGUGCAUAACGGCGGAACUAUUCUAAAACUUCGGUCAUGAAAAUGUUCCUUAAGGUGCCACAGAGACGAGUUCAGUAGAAAUAUUGAAGUGAAACGUUGGUAAACCCCGCAAGCGAGAAACCCAAAUUAUGGUAGGGGAGGUUGUAGCGGCGAAUCGAAGCCAGCUAUAGCACGCAUUGCGUAGAUAAAUUAUUAUCCUAGACAAAACAUGGCUUAUAG